AGGACGAACGCUGGCGGCGUGCUUAACACAUGCAAGUGGAGCGACGAACCAGGGCUUGCCCUGGGGCAGAGCCGCGAACGGGUGAGUAACACGUGGGUUACCUACCCCGAUGACCGGGACAACCCGAGGAAACUCGGGCUAAUACCGGAUGUGGUCCUCGGACUAAAGGAAGCUUCGGCCUCCGCAUCGGGAUGGGCCCGCGGCGCAUUAGCUUGUUGGUGAGGUAACGGCUCACCAAGGCCGCGAUGGGUAGCUGGUCUGAGAGGACGAUCAGCCACACUGGGACUGAGACACGGCCCAGACUCCUACGGGAGGCAGCAGUGGGGAAUCUUGCGCAAUGCGCGAAAGCGUGACGCAGCAACGCCGCGUGGGGGAAGAAGGCCUUCGGGUCGUAAACCCCUUUCAGUUGGGACGAAGGUCGGGCCGUUAAGUAGCGGUUCCGUCUGACGGUACCUUCACAAGAAGCCCCGGCUAACUACGUGCCAGCAGCCGC
rnacentral:rRNA from 1 species